GCUGCACUAGGACCCCUCAUGAUGACCAAGAUCCUCAUAAAGAGGACAAGAAGUUCAUCCAGUACCAGUCAGGCCAAUAUCCCAAAAUUAGCAUAACUGGCAGAAAUGCAGAGGCAUCAACAACUCCUCUUGACAACAGGGUUGGUAGAAGAAUCAAGGGCCUAAUUUUGAUGCCUGGCACAGGUUAUGGGAGCAGCAGAGUACAUGCUGCCCAGCGGCUUCCAGAAGCUCCUGGUCCACCCCGUCAAGAAGCCGGAGGUCCUGCUGAGGUGCAACACAUCUCAGUGUGCUGAGACUGCCCUCAAUGUUGCCCCCAAGAACUGCAAAGCCAUCCUGGAAACAGUGGCCCAGCUGCCCAUUGGAGUCACCAAUCCCAGUGCCAAGCUGUGCAGCAAAGAAAAGGAU
rnacentral:lncRNA from 1 species